AUUGCAUACAGAGUCUUUGCCUACAUUCUUUUUGCAGCAAUGGCUCGCCUAACUAAGCCCCACAAGAUAGCAGCUCGUAGCUUGCACCACCCUGCUUUGGAUUUUGCAAGGACACCAAAACAUGGGUGAGAAGAGAAUAAUCCUAGUUCUCCUUCAUUACCUGAACUGAAAAUCAAAGUAUUAGGAGUUGACCAGCUUGAUGUUUGACCCUGCAGGUGAUUGUCCUCAGGAGUUGGUUGACUACUUGUCA
rnacentral:misc_RNA from 1 species